AUAAAAAAAAAAAAAAAAAAAAAGCAAAACCCCUCUCCAGAACAGAUUGCCAGGACCCCAAAGGCACUGCUAAACAGAGCUUUAGCAGAAGCAGCUUGGCUGCAGCAGAUAACCUCAACCCUUAGGAAACAGCAAAAUGCAAGGUCUUCACCAACCUGAGAGGUCAGCCCUGCUUCUGGAAGCCCACAGACGUCUGGGCCCACAAGCUCUGAAACAAGCCACCGCCCACCAUCCCCACCCACACCUGCAGGAGGAGGCUUGCUGCUGUAACCUCCUGGGUUCAGGAGGAUUUCCAGGACAGCCUGGCCUACACCAACUUCAAACCUGGCCCCCAACACUGUGCCUUUUCCAGCCAACCCAACCCCCAUUCAUCUGAAUCACCACAGUGAUUUUUUAAAAUUCCAUUACCAAGAGCAACAGUGUAGAACAGGGCAGAGAAACACACAGAGGAUGUUCCUAACGAAAAGUUGCCUUAUACUGCCUCUUCUCCCCCCAGAAAGGGAGAAAUUCUAGGUGUACAGACACACACACCCACACACACUCAUGCAUGCACAUGUACACACGCAUACAUAUAGGUUUUUCCCUGAUAUUCAAAAUUCUUUGUGAAUUAGCUCUGAUUCUGCUGAACCCUUCUUUUUAAAAAGGAAAGAAAAGGAGCCACAAACACCAGUAUACUUCUGCAAGGGCUGGCCAGCUCAUGACAUUUCAACUGAACUUUCACACAGCCAUCACCAAAAGCAGGCCAGAAUUUGGCCAAGCCCGGAAGACCACCAAAAGGUCAGACAUCUAGAAUGUUGUAGAUCCAGGAGAGCAGAAUGUCAGAAAAUUAAAAGCUGAAUUCUUCAGGCUUUUUUUUUUUUUUUUUUUUUUAGGUUCCUGUUAACUUCUGAUCUUUACUCUUUACUUUUAAUAACAGUUACCUUAUUUUUUAAGUCAAAGUGUUUUGACCUCUGCCCCUUAGCAAGGCAAAAGCCUUCUUGAGGAGGAAAGGGUGGCAUUUUAAAGGGGCUUCCAGAGCGUGGUAGAGGAGACUCCUGCAGUGAUAUUCUGAGCUGAUGUUCGACACAACUGUGCCAGAGUUUCAUCAACAACAUUUGUUUUGGUUUCAACACCUCCAACGAGACAGAUUCCAGAUCCUUCACACCCCAGGCUGCAGCUGACCAACGUUCCACAGGAUGCCAACAUGCUGAAAAUAGGUUUUACCUGAAAGAAAAGGAAGAACCAGUCAGUGCCCUCAGCAGAAUCCUGCAUCCAUUCUGAGCCUAAAGUCUCCAGCCUGCAGGUCACACUCACCAACCACAGGAUUUUUGAACAUGCUGUCUGGAAGGUAACUCCUUCAUUCCCUUCAGCUCCUACCUCAGGAUCCUAGCUCCCUAUGCAGACUCCCUAGUACAUCACUUCUUUUCUCCUUGCAUCCUUCCUUCCUAGCAAUUCAACCAGUGUUUACAUCGGGGCUCAGCAAAAGUUUUCUGUAAAACUCCAGAGACACCAAGCACACGGUACCAGGCAAUGUGGGGAUACGAAAAACAUUCAUGCAGCAAGUGAAAGAAAGCUUGGAAACCAGAUCCACUCAAGACCUCAUUCAUCCAAAGAGAUACAAGAAAGGAGGGGAAAUCCGCAAGGUCAGAGCCACCAAUGUUCUCUGUUCACGCUGGAUCAUGGGCAUCACAAAAUCACACAUAUAAAAACAGUGGGGAUUUAACAGAAGUUACAAAAUAAUGAAUUUCUUUUCAAAAUGUUACAUGACCCCAAAUAUAAAUAUCAUCAUUAUUGGGUGACUGUCUUUUAAAGGACAUGGACAUCCUAGUUUUAGGAAAUAUUUGCUGGAAAAGGGACAUGAUGUAUGUCACUUACCCUCAAAUGAGUUCAGAAAAAAAAAAAAUCCAUAUGCACACACACAGAGCCAUCACCAGGUAAAUGAGGCAAAAUGUGAAACCAGGAAAAUCUGGGUAAAGAGUAUACUAUUUUUGUUCUUGCAACUUUUUUUUAAGUUUGAAAUUACUUCUGAAUAAAAACUUCUUUUAAGAAAAGAAAAAAAAAACAGAUAA